AGCGAACGCUGGCGGCAGGCCUAACACAUGCAAGUCGAACGGUCCUUCGGGACAGUGGCGGACGGGUGAGUAACGCGUGGGAACGUGCCCUUUGGUUCGGAACAACUCAGGGAAACUUGAGCUAAUACCGGAUGUGCCCUCCGGGGGAAAGAUUUAUCGCCAUUGGAGCGGCCCGCGUUGGAUUAGCUAGUUGGUGGGGUAAAGGCCCACCAAGGCUACGAUCCAUAGCUGGUCUGAGAGGAUGAUCAGCCACACUGGGACUGAGACACGGCCCAGACUCCUACGGGAGGCAGCAGUGGGGAAUCUUGCGCAAUGGGCGAAAGCCUGACGCAGCCAUGCCGCGUGAAUGAUGAAGGUCUUAGGAUUGUAAAAUUCUUUCAGCGGGGAAGAUAAUGACGGUACCCGCAGAAGAAGCUCCGGCUAACUUCGUGCCAGCAGCCGCGGUAAUAC
rnacentral:rRNA from 1 species